rnacentral:lncRNA from 1 species
ACUGAGGAUAUUAUAGUAAGCUCACUCACUGCUGCCUGCCCCUCCCAGGUUCCUUAGCCCCAGUCUCCCAACACCACACAGAUGGGCUGACAACUAGCACAUCUGCUAGUACUGCCAAAAUGUAAACACACUCAGCUGGUAGCAGAUGUUUUCCAGGAAAGAUCGCGACCAAUGGAGUUGUGCUGCUUUGGAUUCUACAUUAGUUAAUCUCUAUGGUUGGGCCUAAGGCCAUUCUGUUCAAAUAGAUCAUGUUCCUCUCAGGAAUAGAACACUAACAGGGUAAGUACUAGUUCAACUCUUGGGUAUUGACCAUACAAUAUAUGGAGAAAAUUUAUUAAUGUCUCUCCUAAUAGGUCAAGAUUUUUCUUUAAAAAAAAUGGGAAUUUAUUUGACUUUAAGACAUAUUUACUGAGAA